AUUGAACGCUGGCGGCAGGCCUAACACAUGCAAGUCGAGCGAGCGGCGGACGGGUGCGUAAUACCUAGGAAUCUGCCUGGUAGUGGGGGAUAACGUUCGGAAACGGACGCUAAUACCGCAUACCAUCAGAUGUGCCCAGAUGGGAAUGGCUAGUAGGUGGGGUAACGGCUCACCUUGGCGACGAUCCCUAGCUGGUCUGAGAGGAUGACCAGCCACACUGGAACUGAGACACGGUCCAGACUCCUACGGGAGGCAGCAGUGGGGAAUAUUGCACAAUGGGCGCAAGCCUGAUGCAGCCAGGCCGCGUGUAUGAAGAAGGCCUUCGGGUUGUAAAGUACUUUCAGCGGGGAGGCGUUACCCGCAGAAGAAGCACCGGCUAACUCCGUGCCAGCAGCCGCGGUAAUAC
rnacentral:rRNA from 1 species